rnacentral:lncRNA from 10 species
GGAAAAGACACCACACACUUUUAGCUUCUUGGAGUCACUGCAUUCAGCUCGUUAAUCUGUGCCUUGUGGAAAUUUGGAUACACAAUUGGAGUCAGGGCCUCCUGGAAAUCAACUGGGUAGAUGUGACCAUGUGACUGUUCCGGCUACAGGAUCUGAACACAACAUGUGCAACUACAGAUUAUUCUCUUAAAGGGAAAGGAUAUGCUCUCUCCUAUAUAUUUUCCCUUUUUCAGUGGUGGAUUGUGGCUGUGGGAAGAACCAUCCUGAACCACACAGACAGGUGGGAUACCUAAGGAUGUUAGAGCAACAAGAUAGAAAGAACCUGGGCUUGGGACAAUGUUGCAGAGCAGAUCCAACACACCAAUUUCAAUGUUUGCAUGAUAGUGCAAUAAAAUCCUGUGCUUUUAAGUCACUAUUUCUUUAGGUCUCCGAGAUGUGGAUGGACCAAUAUCUAUCUUACUCAGUGAAUGUAGGAAGAAGAUGAUUUAAAGAAGGAAGAGAAAUGUGGCUGAUAUGUCAGAUAAGAUGAGGACUGAAGCUUCCUCUUGGUUGAGCAAUAAAAAAUUCACUGGUGACUCCAGGAAGAGCAUUUUUAAAGGUGAUAGGACCAUUGGAAGGCCAAUUUUAAGAGUGGGCUCAAGGCAAGGAAGGAUGGACAGCAAGGAUCAGCACUUUGUUAAGAAAUUUAGCGGUAAAGGAGG